rnacentral:rRNA from 1 species
CUGGCGGCGUGCCUAACACAUGCAAGCCGAACGGACGAGGGGAGCUUGCUCCCCAAGUUAGUGGCGGACGGGUGAGUAACACGUGAGCAACCUGCCCUUCGGAGGGGGACAACAGCCGGAAACGGCUGCUAAUACCGCAUGACAUAUCCUUGAGGCAUCUCGGGGAUAUCAAAGAUUUAUCGCCGAAGGAUGGGCUCGCGUCUGAUUAGCUGGUUGGUGAGGUAACGGCUCACCAAGGCGACGAUCAGUAGCCGGACUGAGAGGUUGAACGGCCACAUUGGGACUGAGAUACGGCCCAGACUCCUACGGGAGGCAGCAGUAGGGAGUUUUCGGCAAUGGGGGCAACCCUGACCGAGCAACGCCGCGUGAAUGAUGAAGGUCUUCGGAUUGUAAAGUUCUGUUAUAAGGGAAAAAUGAUAGGGUGAGGAAAUGCUCUCUAUUUGAUGGUACCUUAUUAGAAAGCCACGGCUAACUACGUGCCAGCCGCAGC